rnacentral:rRNA from 1 species
UACGAAGGGGGCUAGCGUUGCUCGGAAUGACUGGGCGUAAAGGGCGCGUAGGCGGAUGGCACAGUCAGAUGUGAAAUUCCCCGGGCUUAACCUGGGGGGCUGCAUUUGAUACGUGUUGUCUUGAGUUCGGAAGAGGGUCGUGGAAUUCCCAGUGUAGAGGUGAAAUUCGUAGAUAUUGGGAAGAACACCGGUGGCGAAGGCGGCGACCUGGUCCGACACUGACGCUGAGGCGCGAAAGCGUGGGGAGCAAACAGG